rnacentral:rRNA from 1 species
GACGUAGGGCGCGAGCGUUGUCCGGAUUUAUUGGGCGUAAAGAGCUCGUAGGCGGUUUGUUGCGUCGGCUGUGAAAUCCCGAGGCUCAACCUCGGGUCUGCAGUCGAUACGAGCAAACUAGAGUGUUGCAGGGGAGACUGGAAUUCCUGGUGUAGCGGUGAAAUGCGCAGAUAUCAGGAGGAACACCGGUGGCGAAGGCGGGUCUCUGGGCAACUACUGACGCUGAGGAGCGAAAGCGUGGGGAGCGAACAGG